AUGGAGAGAGCUAGAAAUUUCCCGUUUAAUAACCUUCCGGAUGCUGUAGGCUGGAAGUUUACUCCUAAGAAAAUCUUUACCACCAAAUCAGUAUAUGAGUGGCUGGAGAAAGACCUGGUCGGACCUAACUAUAAGUGGGUUUGGAAAGCAGAGAUUCCCCUGAAGAUUAAAAUCUUCAUCUGGCAAUUGUUUCAAAAUGAUGUCCUUACUAGAGAAAAUAUGCGUAAAAGAAACUGGCCUGGUAAUCCUUCUUAUUCGUUUUGUCAUGACGUUGAAACUGCUGGACACCUAUUUUUUGGUUGUGCUUUUGCUCGUUCGGUGUGGGGAACUUUUGGCUUGGCCUUGGGGGCAUUAAGUUGCCCCAAAUCUCUUUGGCAAAGUUGGGUGUGGCUGUAUAAAUUCCUCCCUGGUGGGAGGAAGUAUUACAUGGAAUUCAUAGUUGUUGUUUGUUGGGGGAUCUGGUGUACUCGCAACAUGAUCAAGAAACGUGUUGUUCGUACACCCCUAGAGACUGUUUUCACUGCGUGCUCUUUCAUGAUGGUCAGGUCUGAUGAAAGGAGAUGA
rnacentral:rRNA from 1 species